rnacentral:rRNA from 1 species
AUUGAACGCUGGCGGAAUGCUUUACACAUGCAAGUCGAACGGUAGAGGGGGCAACCCUCGAGAGUGGCGAACGGGUGAGUAAUAUAUCGGAACGUGCCCAGUCGUGGGGGAUAACGUAGCGAAAGUUACGCUAAUACCGCAUACGAUCUAAGGAUGAAAGCGGGGGAUCGCAAGACCUCGCGCGAUUGGAGCGGCCGAUAUCAGAUUAGGUAGUUGGUGGGGUAAAGGCUCACCAAGCCAACGAUCUGUAGCUGGUCUGAGAGGACGACCAGCCACACUGGAACUGAGACACGGUCCAGACUCCUACGGGAGGCAGCAGUGGGGAAUUUUGGACAAUGGGCGCAAGCCUGAUCCAGCCAUGCCGCGUGAGUGAAGAAGGCCUUCGGGUUGUAAAGCUCUUUUGUCAGGGAAGAAACACCGGCUCUAACACAGUCCGGGAAUGACGGUACCUGAAGAAUAAGCACCGGCUAACUACGUG